CCCGGUCCCCACGGAGAACACGGACGGCGCUCCGCGGGGGCCACUGGCACUCACGAAAGAGUUGGUCCUGAUCCAUGAAAGAUGCACCCUAAAGUUUUCAAGGCAUUAGAAAUUAGGUGGGUAACCUCAUGGAUAUGAGGAGAUACCUUCAAAUUGGUUGCAUAAUGGUGGGGCCAGGCCUCAAGGAGGUUUCUUAAAGAGGCGUUUUUAACGUUUAAGGAAACUGGAAGGAAAUUGGCUGUUGCACCUAUCAAAUGAUGCAAAUGUGACUUAUCUGGCUGAGAACAGAGAAUGUGUUGUGUUUAUAUUGCCAGUCAGCCUCUGGUUCAGCUUUGACUCCACUUUAAUUUUAUGCACUAGUCUUUUCUAUCAUAGCACACAGGCAUAAAAUAUAAAUUGGGCGGUUCUUGGAGUUUAUUUCAGUACAGUGUUUGAUAAACAUGCAUCCUGCAAACUUUAACGGUGUGGUGUGGGCUGACCUUGGCUGGAUGCCAGGCACCCACCAAAGCUGAUCUGUCAUCUGCCUUCGCAGCUGGACAGGGAAGAGAAAAUGUAGUAAAGUUAAUGAGUUGAGAUAAGGACCAGGGGAGGUCACUCAAGAAAUACCUAAGGGCAAACAGACUUGAAUUUGGGAUAUUAAUUUUUUACCAACAAAAUCAGGGCCAGGAUAAUGAGAAGUAAAAUAGAUCUUAAAACUACAUUCCCCCUACCUCUUUCUUCUUCCAAAGCUCUACCUCCUUUUCCCCCAGCAGGGAAGGGAAAUGGGAAUGGUUAUGAUCAAUUCAUCACAGAGUUUUCCUCACACUGCUCAGGAUGAGGAAUCCUUCCUGCAGGAGACAGUUCUUGAUUAACAUCUCCUGCAUGAGUUCAUGCCACAGGCAACAGUUCUGCACAAAAUGCUGCAAGGUGGGUGACACCAGAGAUAGAGUGCAGUCCUUCAGGCACAGCCUGCGUCAGUGUGGGUCCCCCAAAGGGUCACAGGUCCUACAGAACCUGCUCAUGCCAUGGGUCUGCAGGUCCCUGCCAGGUGCCUGUUCCAGCAGGGGCCUCCCAUGGACUCACAGCCUCCUCUGAGGGAUCCACCUGCUCCAGCCUGGGUGUCCUCUGUGGGCUGCAGGGGAACCUUGGCUUUGGUGCCUGGAGCACCUCCUGCCCCUUCUUCUCCACUAACCUUGGUGUCAGAGUUGUUCCUCUCAUGUGUUCUCACCCUGCUUUUCUCUGCCUGCAGUUACACCUGCACAAAAAACCUUUUUUUUUUUCCUUCUCAAAUAAGUUAUCACAGAGAUGUUCCCAUCAUUCCUGAUGGGCUCAGCCUUGGCCAGCAGUGGGUCCAUCCUGGAGCUGGCAUUGGCUCUGCUGGAUGUGGAGGAAGCUUCCAGCAGCUUCUCACCGAAGCCACUCCUGUAGCCCCCCCUGCUACCAUGACCUACCUGCAUAAACCCAACACACCCUGAUACUGAGAACAGCAGGGGAGCAAUAAUACUUUGAAACUUUAUUUUAAUUCCAUUAAGGUAAUAGUAAAACUUUUGUAGACUCAGCCCAGACGUGGGUUUCAGGAAGGCAUCCUAAAAUACUGACCUUCACAAGGUUUUCUGAGCUUGACCAUACAGGUGAUGUUAAUGUAAAAUAGCCUUAAGGAAAUAUUUUUGCCAGGAUGGAAGAGGCUAAGGGAAAAACAGAGAAGGAUAAUGGUUAGUUCAUUAUCAAUAGCAAGGUAACUCUAGUAUAAAUAAGUAAAAAUGGGACAAUUUGUUUCUUUGUCCUUAUGUUUGAAUUUAAGACUGAAUUGCUUUGAAACAGUGGAACAUGUUUCCCAAAGAGAUAGUGAAGCCUGGAUUUGGAGAUAUUCAAACCCCAAUUGGACACAGCCUUAAGCAACCUGUUGUAGGUGGCCCUGCUCUGAGCAGGAGGGCUGGGGAAGACAGUCUGCAGAAACACCUUCCAGCUUGAACAAUUCUGUGAUUUCUAAGCCAGUUUUCCAACAAACAUAAAGUGCUUAGAAAAUUCCAGUGAACAGCACAAUAUGCUCUAGGGUCCUUGGUUCGAAGGACAUUUUAUUCAAUUUCUUGUUCACCUAGGCAAUGGAAAUCCAGAAUGCAGGGCAUGUUGCACUCAAAGAUUCAGCAUAGCCAGUUGUCAUGUUAUUGCAGGGGAAGAGCUUCAGAAAACUAGAAUGCCAUUAAAAGGCAAAUGGCUGGAUGUUUUGCAGUCUUCUUUGCAAACUUAUUUGCUAACUUCUUGACUGGCUGGCCAUUCAUCCUGUCUGUAUGUAACUGUUUCACAUUUACCCCCUUGUUCUUCACCACUCAGGAGCAAGAUACUAGCAUAUUUUGAAUGUUUUGUGUAAUUUUUGUCUUGAUGGAGCCAUUACCUCAGUGUUUUCUCAACCACUCUGGUUUCCAAUAGGCCACAGGCACCCUGGUGUGAUCAGAAACAGGGUGACUCCCAUGGGUGCAGCUGCCAGGAAGGAAGCCGUGUGUGCAGCUGAUAUUCACAGCCCUUUCUGCUCCCACAGCCAGCAGAGGUACCCUAGGGCAGAGCGUACUUGGGAACUGCAGGUACCAUGGCUGUGCUGGCACCACUUUGGAACAACAUAGGUUAACUUACCUGCAGAAAUGUUUUUGUAACAUUUUCUGGAAUUCAGUAGGCAAAGGCUAAAACUACGUUGUAAGUAAUAGGAUUUCUGACCUUCACUGGUGGUUAGGUUGUGUCACAUUUGCUACAGCAGAGAGAGAAUAUAGCUUGUAUAGAAAAGUUUAUAGCUCAGUUGUUCUCAGUGAAUAGAGCUCUUGCAGUCCAACUCUAAUUUUACUUGUGAUCUACUGUUCCUUUGUAUUUUUCCCUAGAGUUUAUUUUGGUGUCACUCAGAAGUAGGUACUGUGCUAUAUCUUUUUCCUCACAAAAGCAAAUGAAGUCAGUGGCUUUUGCUCAGUGUCCUCUUAAAGUCGUACUUGAAUGUAGCAGUCAUGGAGUUAGUUCUGGAGAUACCUGCUGCUAAUUUAAUAAUUGGACAUUUAUUUAUCACAAUGGCUCUUACAAUGUUGUGAUCAGGUUCCAGCUUGGUCAUCUUAAAAGGAGUUACUUUGUCAAGUAAUGAAAAAUGGGUUGCAGCUCUAAGUAUGGCUGAUGUUUUUAUCCAUCUUGCUGAUAAUUUUCUUGUCAAUAAAUGAUAAAAAUCCAUAAUGAGCCAUUUUCAGUCACAGUUCCUUCCUUUUUAUCUUGUGUGUUAAUUAGAUCCUUUUCCAGGCACUGGCAACAUGCAUAGCAAACACCAUUGUGCUGAGUAACUGUUCCACAUUUCUCAAACUGUACCUCCUCUAUUGCCAAGCUCCAGGUUGUAAGAGAGUAAUUUGAGUUUUGUCAGCUUUCUGGUGACUGAUUUGAAGGUCUUAAGUAGACAUGUGUUUGCUUCUUCAUCUGUGAAAUAGAUGAAAUAGAGUUAUUUCACCAUCCAGUUACCUGAUCAUGUUUCAGUAACCAUUUUUUGACCUUGACAAACCCCUCAGUUGGUGUUGAGGGUUCAUUGUGAGCUGGCUACGUCACUGUACAGUAAACAUGAGCCUGCUGAAGUUAUCUUUUCAUGUUUUUCCUAUUCAACCACAUGAUGAAGGUUGGGUAGGAAAGAAAGUGAAGGGGGAUUGUUCUAAUUUCUCCCAGAACAGUCCUGUGUUAAUAUAUUCUCAUGGAAAUUCUGGAAUAAUUUUUCUGUCUUGUAGCUUCUAUUUGAAACUUGUCUAUAAAAAGGAAAUACUGCAAUUUUACCCAAAGAUCUAAUGUUCCAUAAUAUUCUCUUUUGAUUAUUAGUUUUAUUGCAAGUGCACCAAUAUUUACCUGCAGUCACUGGACUAAAAAGGAAGGAGUAAGGAGGGUUGACAAGAUUGCUCCUAGCAGUGGUAUAAAAGUCUGCUUCAUGACUGUAGUACUGCUGACUUUCACACACAGUGUAUUCAGGACAGUUACAUUGAAAAGGAAUCCUUGUAAAAAUAUGUUCCAAAAUGAAGGAAGUAUGAGGGAUAAGCAGUCUUUCUAUUGAUAGUCUAAUCUGUAGGUCCAGAUAACCCUGCAGACUUAAAAUUGAGUGCAGCAAAGGAGAAGCUGUCAGUGCAAAAGUCUGUAAGACCUCAUAAAGUGUUUCUGGUCACUUAUCAGUAGGAAAUGCCUAGUGAGAAGUAAAAGUAUAGGGAAAUGUGGAGUUGUGUGCUUUAAAAUGCACUCCUGCCUGCCUUUGUCAGCAGAGGAGGUAGCUGGUUCAUUAUAACAAUAAAUCUUAAAAGGCUUGAGCCACUUCAGGAAGGGUGAUACCAGCCAGUGCCCAUUUGUCUGAGUUGGGUAGUAAGCUGGCUGUCAUGUUCAAGUUCUUCUAAAAUAAUUGAAAAGAAACAUGGGAUUUCUUUAAUAAGGAACAAAAGGGUAGAAAUGUAACCAGUGCCAGUAAGUGUGGCUUAGGGAAAAAUGAUCUUGGCAGACACACCAAACUUCACUACUUGAGUAGGUGAGAAGCUCCAGCACAAUUUAAUUGUGCAGGUGGAGCAGACUUGGGUAAGGUGCUUCAAACUCCACACACCUAAAGCCUCCCUUACUUUCAGUAUCAUACAUUAUGUGGCUUAAAAGCUGAUGGACUGAGAGUGGUGAAGAAAUACAUAACAUGGCAGAAAUCACCUAACAAUUGGAUUGUUCAAAGAGGUGGAACCUUAGGUAUGGCCCAACACUUCCAUCAUGGUGUAGAAGUCAUCAUAGAGUCAUUCCUGUCUUUAUUUGUGACUGUGACAAAGUUGCUGGAAUAAGUACAUAGAAAUGAUAAGGAAAAGACAAUAAUGCAGAAACAUCACCCAGACUGGAUUACUUUGUAAGUUGAACCACUUAAAUAAGUUAUGUCCUAAUCUGUCCAAGUGCAAAAUUAAGUGUCUAGGAUUAAUGAAUGCAAAUCAUGUACCUAGAGGAUAUUUCUGAAUCCUGGAAAGUGGAAACUUUAGAAAAGUUAGAAGAAUGCUGUCACAAGUCACCUCAAAAACAGCCUGAUGUAGAUGUGGGACAAAAAGGUCUGGUGCUGUUUGGGGAUGCUCAGAGUGGAGUAGUAGUAGAAAUAAGGUGAAUUUGUAUCUGCUGGGUCGUGUUUUUUUUAAAUAGACCAAAAACUGGAGAGCCCACAAAGAAUUGUAGAAGAAUUUGGAUGCUUAAAAACUCUUUAGCUGUUUAAUACCAAAAAGAACAAAAAAAAAAGUAGACAUGUAUCGUGUAGUACUUUCCCAGUUAUAGGAAUUCAGUCUAAAGAGAGACGUGGAUAGCUGGAGUUUAAACAAGAUAGAUUUGAGCAAAAAAAAAAAAAAUAGACUUGGCUUCCUAAAUGAUAAAGGGUGGUGAUCAACCACAAGUAAAGCAGUGGACGGGGUGGAUCUUCCUCCCCUUGAUGCCAGAUUGGAUGGCACUUCCUGGCAUUUCUGCGGAAAUCCUCUGGUUCACAAAGGAGUGAGUGAAAUUUAAUGGCUUAUGCCAUAAAGAAACUGAUGUUAGGCCAUCUUUUAGAAUCCUCCCCUGCCCUUUCACAGGUGGAAGCAGGUAGAGGUAUCUAGAAGAAUAUAGUUUCUUGGAGUCCUGGUUUUUAGUAGACUGAUGUUUUCUAUCUAAGAAUAAUUUCAAAUAAUUUUUUUGCUCUGUCAAGACGUGCCCAGGCCUAGUUACUCUUAGGAGACAGUAGAUUUUCUUGUCCAUUUUGUAGUUUUUGUAGCGCUGUUUAGAAUUUCUCAAGAGUUGUCCAGACAUAAUAAUUUGUGUUUGUAAGUCAAAUUACUGUAAUUACACAAUACAGACCUCUGAGGACAGUGGGUUCUGUAGAGUCCUGUAGUGUACAUGCUGAGGUGCCUGCUCUCAGACAGCAAUGCCUGUUUGUCCCUCUUUUUCGUUCUCAGACAUUACAGAAUUGAUAUUGCAGAUAUUGCCAAGCCUUUAAUGGCUGACUGACACCCCAUUCCUGGUUGGUUUUGCUGCUGGUUUAAGAAAAGAACUUUCUAUGGCCACCACAAGCACAUAUUGCCGUUACUGAUCCUUCAUUAUCUCUUAGCAACCAUUUGGUCUUUCACAAAAAAUGUCCCAGGCUAGAUGGUCUCAAGAGUUUCCAUGCAAGACCAUUGAAGAAUGGGCUGUGACCCACAGAAGGAAAUGCAGCAGGAAUUAUUGAGUCACAGCCUCUGUGCCUAAAAUGGGUCUGAAAAGAAAGUUCCUUAAUUCCUCUCACCUGGGGCAAAAUUCAUGGUGAGAAAAGAGUUGCUGGAACCUCCCAAAGCAGCUCUGGUUGUUGCUGUCUGCUGUGACAGAGGCAUGUGGCCAUGCAUAAAAUCUCAGUGGAUGAACCCCUUGAAAUGCCCUACAGAAAAGUGAAGACAGGCCAAGUUAUCUGGAAUUUUACCCAUGGUAUGAAGUGUUGCACCAUGUUAUGGCCAAGGAACCAAAAUUAUGGAAUUAAGCAAAAUCACAGCAUAGGAGAGGCACAAAAGGACAUGAGGUGCUCCAAGCUGUGAAGCAAUGUUAUGAGGAGUCAAGGCUGGACUUGGCAUUCACGCUGGACAAGGGAAUGAGAGGCACAUGUGAUUGAUCUUUCUGGUGGGUAGGAGAUGCCAAGUCUAUAAAACUGCCCAGGUCUCAAUCAGUGGAUGUGAUCCAUAGGCACCGAGUGGCAAGUGCUUAAUAACCUUGCAUUCCUCUCCCAUGGCACUGUUCACAGAGUCACAGAAUGGUUUGGGUUGGAAGAGCUGUUAAAGAUCGUCUAGAUGCAACCCUCUGCACCAGGUUGUUUGUCAUUAUUGGUGGCGAGCUGCUCACAAGUAGAGGCUUCCCUGUUCCCCAGCCUUCUCUGUUAUUUGCCUCAUUGAAGGCACAGAACUCCAGGACAGUCACCUGCCAUGUCCCCUGCUGCUGGAGCUGCCAGUCUUGGGUUUGCUGCAGGACCUGCUGCCAGUAGGCAGUGUCCUCACCAUGGAGCCAGCCCUGGGUUUGCUGCCAGCAGGCAGUGUCCUCACCAUGGAGCCAGCCCUGGGUUUGCUGCCAGCAGGCAGUGUCCUCACCACAGAGCCAGCCCUGGGUUUGGUGCCAGUGUCCUCACCAUGGAGCUCGGGCAUGAGCCUGCUGCAGCUUGCUGUGCUGCCCAUCACCAUCCCCUGGGAGCCUGUGAAGAGGAUCUGACCCAUCCAUCUGCACUUCUCCAGUUACUGUGGGUGCUCCCUGAGAGAGCUGAAGACAGAACUGGCUUGGUGUUGGCAGGAAGCUUCAUACAGUUUGUGGGAAGCAAGGCUUGGAGAGGGGCCCAGGCUGUCCCAGUGCCUGUGUUUGGGGUAGCAUCUGGCCUGAUGUCUGCCAGAACAAAUGGCUGGCCACUGAGACAGGCACGUUACAGCCAACACUGCACAUGCAGACAAAGCCACCAACUCGCUUCAGCCCAGGAUGCUUGGGGACAAAAGUGCCAAAUGCACUUGUCUCCAAUUCUAGGGUGAAUUUACACAACCAGAGCUGGGAUGUGCACUGAACUGCCCGUGCACACAGGCAGCCACAAUGCCUGGGAGCCAAAGGCUUGAGGGCAAAGAAAGAUGAAUGCAGCUGUAAGAAAUACUUUAUUUGAUGACAAAACUAGUUGCAACAAAUAAGUAAUGAAACAAAGAUUGACCUUUACAAUUGUGUGUCAGUACACACAAUUCUUUUGAAGACAUUUACAUUAAAAAUGCUCAUUAAAUAAAGAAAAAUAUCUUUCAAAGAAGGUUUUUAUGGCAUUAUAAGAAUUUUACCAAGCCUCAGCAUAGACAUUGCUGGGAUCUGUGUAACCCUGAAAAAUAAGGUAUUGGAGGAAUAUCUGUGAAACAAGUAUGGCAAUAUUCUUUUGGAGAAAUUUCUUCAUGAUAAGGCUGAAAUACUGGAUAGCAAAGGAGUAGGAAAUACACAAA